rnacentral:rRNA from 1 species
AUUGAACGCUGGCGGCAUGCUUUACACAUGCAAGUCGAACGGCAGCGCGGGCUUCGGCCUGGCGGCGAGUGGCGAACGGGUGAGUAAUGCAUCGGAACGUGCCCAGUAGUGGGGGAUAGCCCGGCGAAAGCCGGAUUAAUACCGCAUACGACCUGAGGGUGAAAGCGGGGGACCGAAAGGCCUCGCGCUAUUGGAGCGGCCGAUGUCGGAUUAGCUAGUUGGUGGGGUAAAGGCUUACCAAGGCGACGAUCCGUAGCUGGUCUGAGAGGACGACCAGCCACACUAGGACUGAGACACGGCCCCGACUCCUACGGGAGGCAGCAGUGGGGAAUUUUGGACAAUGGGGGCAACCCUGAUCCAGCCAUGCCGCGUGCGGGAAGAAGGCCUUCGGGUUGUAAACCGCUUUUGUUCGGGAAGAAAUCCUCUGGGCUAAUACCCCGGGGGGAUGACGGUACCGGAAGAAUAAGCACCGGCUAACUACGUG